rnacentral:misc_RNA from 1 species
GAUGAAAACGUAGCGAACUGCGAUAAGUAAUGUGAAUUGCAGAAUUCAGUGAAUCAUCGAGUCUUUGAACGCACAUUGCGCCCCCUGGCAUUCCGGGGGGCAUGCCUGUCCGAGCGUCAUUGCUGCCCUUCAAGCCCGGCUUGUGUGUUGGGUCGUCGUCCCCCCCGGGGGACGGGCCCGAAAGGCAGCGGCGGCACCGCGUCCGGUCCUCGAGCGUAUGGGGCUUUGUCACCCGCUCGAUUAGGGCCGGCCGGGCGCCAGCCGGCGUCUCCAACCUUCUAUUUUACCAGGUUGACCUCGGAUCAGGUAGGGAUACCCGCUGAACUUAAGCAUAUCAAUAAGCGGAGGA